rnacentral:rRNA from 1 species
GAUGAACGCUGGCGGCGUGCUUAACACAUGCAAGUCGAACGGAGUUUUACUAUUGAAGAUUUAGCUUGCUAUUGACUGAUAUUUGUAAAACUUAGUGGCGGACGGGUGAGUAACGCGUGGGUAACCUGCCGUAUACAGGGGGACAACAGUUGGAAACGACUGCUAAUACCGCAUAAUGUGUUUUGGGGGCAUCCCCGAGACACCAAAGCUUUAUGUGCUGAAAGAUGGCCUCGCGUCUGAUUAGAUAGUUGGUGAGGUAACGGCUCACCAAGUCUGCGAUCAGUAGCCGGUCUGAGAGGAUGAACGGCCACAUUGGGACUGAGAUACGGCCCAGACUCCUACGGGAGGCAGCAGUGGGGAAUAUUGGGCAAUGGGGGAAACCCUGACCCAGCAACGCCGCGUGAAGGAAGAAGGCCUUCGGGUUGUAAACUUCUUUUAGCAGGGACGAAGAACGUGACGGUACCUGCAGAAAAAGCAACGGCUAACUACGUG